CUACGGGAGGCAGCAGUGGGGAAUAUUGCACAAUGGGGGAAACCCUGAUGCAGCAACGCCGCGUGAGUGAUGAAGGCCUUCGGGUUGUAAAGUUCUGUCUUUUGGGACGAUAAUGACGGUACUAAUGGAGGAAGCCACGGCUAAUUACGUGCCAGCAGCCGCGGUAAUA
rnacentral:rRNA from 1 species